CUGAUAGGUCGGCGCUUUCCAGGAAUUUGGAAUUCGAAAAUGAGCCGUUUUCGUGCUCCACGUUCUACUUUCAUUUCACGAGCGUUUUACUAGUUUCCUGUGUGCGCACCGCGCCGGGCGCCGAAGCGGUGAGGGGAAGGCGGUGCUGCUACCUCGACAAUGCUCGCUCCCUUUUCCUGCUACAGACAUUACAUAGCGACUUGACAUAUCCGCUAGAAUCCUUUUCUUUGGCAUAAAGUUCUAGAAGUGGAGAUACUGGGCCAAAGUGAUUAAACACACCGAUAUGUACAAUCGCAAAUACGAACCAGGAACAACUCUACUGAGGUUUAAGGAAUGUGGCUUUUCAUCUGUUGAUCAUUAAAAAUUGGCCCUAAGCAAAGCACAUCGUGGAAUGAAAAAGCAGUUUCUUCCUGAUAAAGACCGAGCUGCUAUUGUCAAAGGGCACAAGAGGUCAGGCAGCUCUUAGAAAAAGAGCAAAGCACCUUCUUUGUAUUGAGAUGUUUAAAAUUCUUUAAUCAAGAAGAGCUUUGGCCUAUAAUUAAGAAAGAAUCAUGCAGCUGUUAACUCAUUUAAAGAAGGCUUUUCAUCAGUAUCUUGCAUCAUAUCAGCUAAGGCACAACCCUGGGAAAGAAAGCCACACUUAAGGCACCACACAGUACCAAGCCAGUUCUAUGUGGAAAACAGAAUUCUGGCCUUGCAGAAACAAUAAGAUGACUCUUCAAGCCUCCUGCUUAGAUCUGUGUGACCCUUUUCAGUUCUUAAGCCAGGUGACAGACCACAUAAAAAGGACCUCAGAGUUAACAGUGGCUGACGACAGAGUCCCCGCGUAUGAGGAGUGCCUGAAGAAAUUCAGACAAUAUAACUUCUGAUCAAGACUUUUUCUGGGGGCCUCCCUGGCAACGCAGGGGUUAAAGACACAGCGUUAUACACAGUGUU